rnacentral:rRNA from 1 species
AUUGUAUAACAGAGGUGUAAGGGCUGUCGCUGACCUUUAAAGGUCGUGCACGCCUAAGCCCUCUCACACAAUCCAUCUCACCCCUCUUGUGCAUCACCGCGUGGGUUCUCCCUUUGCCGGGAGGGCCUGCGUUUUUAUAUAAAACUUGACACAAUGUAGAAUGUUUUCUUUUUUGCAAUGAUAUGCAAUCAAUACAACUUUCAACAACGGAUCUCUUGGCUCUCGCAUCGAUGAAGAACGCAGCGAAAUGCGAUACGUAAUGUGAAUUGCAGAAUUCAGUGAAUCAUCGAAUCUUUGAACGCACCUUGCGCCCCUUGGCAUUCCGAGGGGCACACCCGUUUGAGUGUCGUGAAAUUCUCAAAACCCCUUUUUCUUUGAUCCUUUUUUUGGGGGUUUGGAAAAGGAGUUUUGGACUUGGAGGUUCAAUGCUUGCCUUUCACUUUUGAAAGCAAGCUCCUCUCAAAUAAAUCAGUGGGGUCCGCUUUGCUGAUCCUUAACGUGAUAAGAUGUUUCUACGUUUUGGAUUUGGCACUGUCCCUUGGAUGCCUGCUUCUAACUGUCUCACGGACAAUGAUGGUGCUCUGGUCACUACCAUUUAUAUUGGUGGAAGGCUGGACCCACAAAAAUAAAACCUUGACCUCAAAUCGGGUGAGACUACCCGCGAACUAG